rnacentral:rRNA from 1 species
AACGAACGCUGGCGGCAGGCUUAACACAUGCAAGUCGAACGCCCCGCAAGGGGAGUGGCAGACGGGUGAGUAACGCGUGGGAACGUACCUUUCGCUUCGGAAUAGUCCCGGGAAACUGGGUUUAAGACCGGAUACGCCGUAUUGGGAAAGAUUUAUCGGCGAAAGAUCGGCCCGCGUUGGAUUAGCUAGUUGGUGGUGUAAUGGACCACCAAGGCGACGAUCCAUAGCUGGUCUGAGAGGAUGAUCAGCCACACUGGGACUGAGACACGGCCCAGACUCCUACGGGAGGCAGCAGUGGGGAAUCUUGGACAAUGGGCUCAAGCCUGAUCCAGCCAUGCCGCGUGAGUGAAGAAGGCCUUAGGGUUGUAAAACUCUUUCGCCGGAGAAGAUAAUGACGGUAUCCGGAGAAGAAGCCCCGGCUAACUUCGUGCCAGCAGCCGCCGUAAGAC